rnacentral:lncRNA from 1 species
ACACACUAACAGUACCUGCACGUGUUCCAAAAAAAAUCCAAAUUAGGCCCAGGGCCUCUUUCGGCCCAAAUCGCAACUCCGGCACGGCGGCUCCGCCGUGCUCCGGCGACGGCGCCGCCGCUGGCGGCGGCAAGUCGCCUCGGGUUGGCUGUUUUCGGCCGUUUUCGGCCGAAUUCGGCCACGCUCGCAUUGGUCCUUGUCAGAAAACAACCCUAGGGCCCUCGGGGGGCAAAAAAAUCACGGAAAAACGGAGCUUACCGGCGGCGGCGCUCUCGGGUGCAGCGGCUCUCCGGCGAGGUUCGUGUUUUGGUGAUUCGGCUCCGGUCAACCUGUAGAGAAAAGAAUGGUGAUCACGGUGAUAUAAAAAUUGCAUCGAACGGAGGCCGGGAAGGGCCUCGUCGGAGGCAAAAAUCGAGAGGGGGCGCGGCAGCGCCGCUGGGCUUCGGCCGCGUAUUCCGGCCGUUUGGCCGGGAUUUCGGCCUCGAUUUGGCCAUAGGAGGAAUCAGCGGGGAAAAAUGAGUCGGGGGUAUGAAAUUUACCUCAAUCGGCAGUCGGAAAUUUCCCCGGUGCGGCGGCGAGUGGCGGCGGGUGGCGGCGGUCGGCCUCUGGUUCGUCUUCUCCGGCGAGCGGCUGGCGGCUAGGGUUUUUGGUCUGGUGUGGAGGUUCUAUUUAUAACCCUUUGCCUUUUGAUCACAGCCGUUCGUUUCGUUUUAAUCUGGGCCGUUCGUUUUUGAUUGAAUCUGGGCCGUCCGUGCGUUUGAAUCUGGGCCGUCCGAUCGCGUGAUUGAUCUGGGCCGUCGGAUCGCACCCACGCGGAUCGCCAACGUGGCUCCUUUCAGAGUGACGCGAUCUUGCCACGUGGCAGGCCCUGGU